rnacentral:lncRNA from 1 species
CCCCCACCACCACAACAUCUACACUGUGUCAUCCAGAUGGAACUUUCCUUCCCACCACCACAACAUCUACACUGUGUAAUCCAGAUGGACCUUUCCUUCCCCCACCACUACAACAUCUACACUGUGUCAUCCAGAUGGACCUUUCCUUCCCCCACCACCACAACAUCUACACUGUGUCAUCCAGAUGGAACUUUCCUUCCCACCACCACAACAUCUACACUGUGUCAUCCAGAUGGAGCUUUCCUUCCCCCACCACCACAACAUCUACACUGUGUCAUCCAGAUGGACCUUUCCUUCCCCCACCACCACAACAUCUACACUGUGUCAUCCAGAUUGAACUUUCCUUCCCCCACCACCACAACAUCUACACUGUGUAAUCCAGAUGGACCUUUCCUUCCCCCACCACCACAACAUCUACACUGUGUCAUCCAGAUGGACCUUUCCUUCCCACCACCACAACAUCUUCACUGUGUCAUCCAGAUGGAACUUUCCUUCCCCCACCACCACAACAUCUACACUGUGUCAUCCAGAUGGAACUUUCCUUCCCCCACCACCACAACAUCUACACUGUGUCAUCCAGAUGGACCUUUCCUUCCCCCACCACCACAACAUCUACACUGUGUCAUCCAGAUGGAACUUUCCUUCCCACCACCACAACAUCUACACUGUGUCAUCCAGAUGGAACUUUCCUUCCCCCACCACCACAACAUCUACACUGUGUCAUCCAGAUGGAACUUUCCUUCCCCCACCACCACAACAUCUACACUAUGUAAUCCAGAUGGAACUUUCCUUCCCCCACCACCACAACAUCUACACUGUGUCAUCCAGAUGGAACUUUCCUUCCCCCACCACCACAACAUCUACACUGUGUCAUCCAGAUGGACCUUUCCUUCCCCCACCACCACAACAUCUACACUAUGUAAUCCAGAUGGAACUUUCCUUCCCCCACCACCACAACAUCUACACUGUGUAAUCCAGAUGGAACUUUCCUUCCCCCACCACCACAACAUCUACACUGUGUAAUCCAGAUGGACCUUUCCUUCCCACCACCACAACAUCUACACUAUGUAAUCCAGAUGGAACUUUCCUUCCCCCACCACCACAACAUCUACACUGUGUAAUCCAGAUGGAACUUUCCUUCCCCCACCACCACAACAUCUACACUAUGUAAUCCAGAUGGAACUUUCCUUCCAACCACCACAACAUCUACACUGUGUCAUCCAGAUGGAACUUUCCUUCCCCCACCACCACAACAUCUAUGUAAUCCAGAUGGAUUGAGAGAUGGGACUGAUAUGCUUCCCUGUGUUUCCCCAUAGGUCUGAGUGAAGACCGUGGUGUUGUGAACAGAGUGGAGACAAACAAGAGGAAACAGAGAGAGAGGAAGUGUGUGUGUGUGUGUGUGUGUGUGUGUGUGUGUGUGUGUGUGUGUGUGUGUGUGUGUGUGUGUGUGUGUGUGUGUGUGUGUGUGUGUGUGUGUUUGGUUUUACUAUCCUUGUGAGGACCAGAGUCCUCACAAGGAUACUAAAAUAAGGACAAUUCAGACAAGUGGGGACAUUUCACCGGUCCCCACAAGGAAAAAGGCUAUUUUAGGAUAGUAAAACAAACUUGCGUGUGUGACUGGCCUGCCUCUGCCUGUCUGCGGUGGAGGAGGGAGAUAGUAGGGGUAGUGCUCCUCCAUAGAGAGUAGUCCAAUUCAAUGGGUGGAGCUGUGUUUACACAAUGUUUGUCUUCCUAAAGGCCCUCAGAUUAAAACACAGCUGAUAUGUUGGUUGCUGCAUGAUACAGUGAAGAAUGGGGUGCAUGCAUAUCCCAAAAACGUAACAAUUACUAUUCAAUUAAAUGUAAGGUAGCCCUGAGGUUUCAGCUGCUGGGCUUUUGUCAAGGGAUGCAUCAUACAGGAAAUGCUAACAAACUCUCUGCUAGCCAGUGUGUAGUAAUGCACCACGGAUUGGCUUGGAGACGUAUUGUGGUAGGGCUGUGGAACUCAGAACCCUUUGUGGCCUUGUACCUCAAUGCCAAACCGAGACUCCUUGGUGUUCUAGAAUUGACAUUACUGGAUUUUUAUCAUGUGAAGGUGCUUGAGUUGUGCUGGAGCCCCACAGAUCAAAUCAAAUGAUUUAUUGAUGCGUACACAUAUUUGCAGAUGGUAUCGCAGGUGCAGCUAAAUGCUUGUGUUUCUAGUAAUACCUAGCAAUACAAAACAAUACACACUAAUCCCACAAAUUUAAAUUAAGAAAUUAAGAAAUGUCAGAACAAGCAAUGUCAGAGUCCGGAAUAUUCAGACCCCUUGACUUUUUACACAUGUUGAUAUGUUACAGCCUUAUUCUAAAAUUGAUUAAAUUGUAUUUUUUCCUCAUCAAUCUACAUACACACAAUACCCCAUAAUGACAAAGCAAAAACAGGUUUUUAGACAUUUUUGCAAAUGCA